GGUCUAGUGGUUAGAACGCUGGCCUUGUAAUCCUGGGGUUCCGGGUUCGAUUCCCGG
rnacentral:tRNA from 1 species